rfam:Schistosoma mansoni, Puerto Rico, WGS project CABG01000000 data, contig: 0115
AUCCAGCUGAAAAGUCUCAAAUAGGACAAAACGUGCGUCCUGGAU